GCAAAAUCAAUUAACUACUUCUAUCCAUAGGAAUUUAUUGACUUCCACCCAUUUUAGAAAGAAAUGUGACUUUCAGUUGGUAAAGUUACAAAAUGUGUGUCUCAUGCUGUGCAGUUUUUGUGACGUGCUGCAGGACAUUCCCUUCUGUACCCGUCAUCCUAGCUCUGUGCAAUUGUGCUUGGUCUGGUGAUUAUUUCCAAGAAGGCAGAGUCUGCGUCAGUACUGAGACAUCUUCCUUACUCAGCGCUGCUGGUAUAUCCGAAGCAAGCCAGUGCAGGAAGAAAUGGAAGGAGCUCUCUCCAACACAGCACAGCCACCUGGAAGCAGUUAAUGCUGUGGAAGAAAUGGAGAAGCCAGUUGCUUGCAGCAGAAGGACAACAGCAGGAACCCUAGAUGUACAGGGGUGGGACAGGAUGGAAGGAUGGCAGGCCCUUUCCAUCGCUCUGCAUGUUCUUGCAAAUGCAACGGGACAGGAAGUUCAACUUGGUGGGAAAGCUCAGCAGAGGUCCUUCAGAGGAAGCCUCACUGAUCCACCAUCCAGUGCCAGCCCGCUAACACAAUGUCUCGAUCUGCAGGCCAGCUCUAGACUUGGAUCCAGCAACUGCUUUCAACAUCCUCGAAGGCAUCUAAUUGUUCAGGACAUACCGAAUAUCUCCACUUUCAGAAAUCAAGCCUGGAGUAGAACUCCCUUGAAAGCAAGACAACAGGAAGCCGAGAUGAGUUUUAGAAAACACCAUACAAAAUGGUGCAGUGUAGGCAGAAAAUUGGCUGGGAGCAUGAUGUAAUCUCUGAGAGAGCUGCUUUGCAGAAGCCUAUUUCUUUCCUGCCCACAACCCAGUUUGGCAUUUUGGAUGUACCCAAGGAAGUUAUCUUACCAUGUUUCCCCGGGGGCAGGGUCCCAUGGCACAGGUGCUGAGAUGUGUGUGCCGACAUGCAAGUUAAGAAGUGAGGAACAAGACAGAGAGGGCAGGAGGACUUCAUCUCGUAUUCAUCAAUGUGGUCGCCAAGCUGCUCCUCACUAGCUGCAGAAGUGAAGCCAGAGACUGGUGCUGGGCAAGAAAUUGCUUCUUCCGUAUGAGGAUGAGCUUUAUUAAGCCCAUACUUUCUCAGGUAUGGCAGUUUGUAGAUGAUGCCCUGUUUCAUCUUCCUAGGGCUCACCUUCACUCCCGUCUGCCUUUGCCUUCACUCACACUUUGCAGCACUGAUAUCUGUCUUUGAACAGCGAUGGCAGUUUCAGAUCUGGCGCUACAGCUCAGUUCAGCCCAAAUGUGAACAUAAGGGAGAAGUGCGAAGCUGGUGAAAAGUCUGCAGGGAACAAUAUGGGACCAGCUUAUUUAUGGAUGAACUUUGUGAGGCUCCUCUCUGCCCGUCUCUCCA
rnacentral:lncRNA from 1 species